AUGGAAACUCACAUCUGUGGAGACCCUUGAUUUGUGACCCUGACUAUAGCUGGUAUUCCUUAAUGACUGGUUAAGGGCUCCACUUUCAGAUAAAACAUAGACCUGAAUGGCAUCAUCCAGUAUCCAGGGAAACCAUGUAAGGACCUCGCUCACUGUGUACUUCUCUUAUUCAGAGUUUAAAAGCUAGCUGAGUACUGAAUAACCACAUGAUGGAUGGAAGAACCAGCUCCCUCAAGUUCUUCUUUGACUUCCACUGGCUUGCUUUGUCACACCCCACCAAAUAAAGAAAUAUAAAAAUUUGAUGGCAUGAUAAAUGUC
rnacentral:lncRNA from 1 species